AUGCUGGCUGCUGAAUGGUGCUGGCCAUCAUCAGCUUUUGUUUACUUCAUCCUCCGUGUGAAGAUAGCAGCUGUUUCUUUCAGUAAAAAAGAAGUAAAAGAAUGUAGCGACCUACCUCACAUUUCCCCCCUCCUCCUCCAAAUGUUUGUGGAGCCCAACAGCUGUCUUUGCAAAUCCUGCCACUCAGGAUUGCAAUGGCUGUACAUAAUCAAGCAUGGAGUGCUGAAGCUGAGAUUGUUGGCUGGCUCCAGGAGGCAGUUGCUGCGUAAGAAAUGACUAAUUCACUAUGAUCUUGAGGCCGUGCAGACUGACCUAUAAUCUUAGAAUUACUAAGCCAUUAUGAAAGGUUUUUCUAUUAGGUAAGUUUCCAUCCCUUUACCAUUCAACAUUUUGCUAACUCAAAGCAUUUUUACAAAUAUUUAAUUGAUUGGAAUCUGGAAAAGUAAUAAGCUUUUUUUCUGUUCUUAUAUGGCAUCCCCAAUAUCACAGUCUAUAACUGAUUUGAAAGAUUACCUAUAGCCCCUGGAUAUUCUUCUCCCCAUGUUAAAAGAAAGCAGGAAAAAUGAGAUUUGUGGAUGCAUCAUUACAAAUCGAGAUCAGUGGCGGGUGAAAAUUCUGGGAUUCAAUAAAGGAAGUUGCACCCAAGAGUAAGCUUGUUAA
rnacentral:lncRNA from 1 species